CUGAGUGGGUAUGGGUAAACCUUAACGUAGAGCGCCACUGCCGCCGCAACGUCAGUGCCGCAGGACAUCCCGGAUGUCGACCACUCAUCGGCCUGACACUGCAGCUGCAAGAAUAAUUGCAGAAUAAGAGCCAGCUACUUUAGUGCCCAGGAGGGUGAAGUAUACAAUGAGAUUUAAAGCUGGAACGAAACAUCCAGCAGCUAAACCGCAGUCCGAGUCACAAGGAGCAGUUGUUUCAGGUAACAGAGAACCACUCUACACUGCUAAAGCCAAAAAGGAGACAGAUGUGUCUCCUGCAACCAAGGGCAUAAGCACAGCAGAGCCUCAGGAAAGACUAGAAUUGAGCCAGGGCCUGGGAGGUCCACGGGGAUGA
rnacentral:lncRNA from 1 species